CGCAGCCGCAGCAGCGCCGCCUGCGCCACUCCGCGGACACCGAGACCAGCGGCGGCGGCGACGCGCGGACCGGGAACAAGCCGAGAGCGGCGCAGCUGCCGAGGAAGCGCGCAGAGCGGCCGGCUUUGAAUACAUGAGGAAGAAGAGUGGAAAAUGAGAGGAAAGGUAAAGUUGGAAGAGGGCAAGAAGAAAGAGAAAGGGGAGAAGUGGAGGGAAGCUCCAUCAGCUACCAACACAAUAAAUUAUAUCAUGGACCACC